rnacentral:rRNA from 1 species
AACGAACGCUGGCGGCGUGGAUAAGACAUGCAAGUGGGACGCUAAUCAAUGGGUAGCAAUAUUCGUUGGUUGGAGUCGCGUAAGGGUGCGUAACACGUGGGUAAUUUGCCGCGAAGCUCGGAAUAACUUGCCGAAAGGUAAGCUAAUACCGAAUGUGACUCGUGCUGGGCAUCCAGUAUCAGUCAAAGCCGGGGAUCGUAAGACCUGGCACUUCGCGAUAAGCCCGCGGCCUAUCAGCUAGUUGGUGAGGUAAUGGCUCACCCAAGGCUUAGACGGGUAGCUGGUCUUUAGAGGACGACCAGCCACACUGGAACUGAGACACGGUCCAGACACCUACGGGUGGCAGCAGUCGAGAAUUUUUUCACAAUGGGCGAAAGCCUGAUGGAGCGACGCCGCGUGGGGGAUGAAUGGCGUUCGGCCCGUAAACCCCUGUCAUUCGGGAUCAAAUCUGAUACCUAACACGUUGUUAGUUAGUAUAGUACUGAAAGAGG